GAUGAACGCUGGCGGCGUGCCUAAUACAUGCAAGUCGAGCGAACGGACGAGAAGCUUGCUUCUCUGAUGUUAGCGGCGGACGGGUGAGUAACACGUGGAUAACCUACCUAUAAGACUGGGAUAACUUCGGGAAACCGGAGCUAAUACCGGAUGAUAUUUUGAACCGCAUGGUUCAAAAGUGAAAGACGGUCUUGCUGUCACUUAUAGAUGGAUCCGCGCUGCAUUAGCUAGUUGGUAAGGUAACGGCUUACCAAGGCAACGAUGCAUAGCCGACCUGAGAGGGGGGUCGGCCACACUGGAACCGAGACACGGGCCAAACUCCUACGGGGGGCAGCAGGAGGGAAACUUCCGCAAAGGGGGAAAGCCUGACGGGGCAAAGGCGGGGGAGGGAUGAAGGGCUUCGGAUCGUAAAACCUUGUUAUUAGGGAAGAACAAAUGUGUAAGGAACCAGGCACGUCUUGACGGGACCUAAUCAGAAAGCCACGGCUAACUACGGG
rnacentral:rRNA from 1 species